AAAAAAAAAACCCUAACUACACCUUUCCAAAAUCAGUCUCUCACUCAUUCAUCCUUACUUCUUCCUUUGUUUCGGAUAAAAAUCCCCACAAAUCCUUUUUUUCUUCCUUCUUCUCGGACUCAAGAAACCCAAACAUGGUUUUCUUCUCAUCUCACACCCUUUCUUCUUUCUUCUUCCUUGCAAAGAAAACUAUCGUCGAUUUGUUUGAAACGCUCACCGAACUCCAGACGAGUUGAAAACUCGAACCAAUGUCCACUGCAUAUUCGAGUUUUUUCUUUAGGGCAUUGACUAAGGCAUAUAGACACUAGAGAAGGGGAUAGACGAAGGCGCGAACAUGGUUUGCCACGAAGGUGCAGAAGAGGGCGGCGUUGGCCUGGGUGCAGAGUCGCCAUGAAUCGAAGAGAAACAACAUGGAAGAGAUGAACCACACGAGCAUCUGGCGAGACUCGAACUUGUCACGGGCUUAGUUGCUUGAUAUCAGAGCUCUAGUGGAGAUUAGGCAACUGGGAUCCUAGAUGAUGUUGGGGGUUUGAGGAAGAAGGCAGUGUUGAUUGCUUAUAAGAGUGAUGAUAAGUCAGAGUUCCUUAAGAAGCUUGCAUUGAAGUUUAAGGGACCAGAGAAUAUCAUAUUGUUUAUUCUGGACAAAUUUGAUAGGAACUCUGAACUGGUUGCAGAGUUGGUUAUCGUUAAUGGAUUUAAAGCUGCUUAUGCAAUUAAGGAUGGUGCAGAAAGACCGAGAGGAUGGAAGAACGUAUGCCUAAAAAGGUUCUUGACUUGUUGAAUGUUGAAAAGCUUACAAGGGAGGUUGUGCCCACCACCUUCAGGCAUUUUUGCGAACUUUUUUCUUUAGUUUAAUGUCUCAUUCUGUGUUUUUCUACCUCUUCUUGAACCUAAUUGCCUAAAUUGGAGAGUUCAAAGGUGAACGUUAUUUUAUUUCU